UACAGAGAUCUCAAGCGUUGUUCGGAUUCAUUGGGCGUAAAGGGUGCGUAGGCGGCGCGGUAAGUCGGGUGUGAAAUCUCGGGGCUUAACUCCGAAACUGCAUUCGAUACUGCCGUGCUUGAGGACUGGAGAGGAGACUGGAAUUUACGGUGUAGCGGUGAAAUGCGUAGAUAUCGUAAGGAAGACCAGUGGCGAAGGCGGGUCUCUGGACAGUUCCUGACGCUGAGGCACGAAGGUCAGGGGAGCAAACGGG
rnacentral:rRNA from 1 species